rnacentral:tRNA from 1 species
GGGAAAGUGGCUCAGUGGUAGAGCACUUGUCUUGCAUGCAUGAGGCCCUGGGUUCAAUUCCUCAGCACCA